CUGUGUCCUCCAAUAACUGAGGGCUUGCAGAACCACACUUGGCCACGAGAGGGAGCUCAUCGUUUAGCAUAGAAGGGGAGUCCACCCAGACUGCUGAAGAAGAGAUAGAUCACGUGUAACAGAAGAAAAGAAAAACUGAAAGAAACACAAAGUCAGUGUUUUUCCAAGUUGCCUGAUAAGAAUCUCCUGGGGAUUGAGUCAUCUUCUGUAGACAAGGGUAAGAAACCAACGCUUCCACAUGCUUUCUGGGUUAUUCUUAUGCUCAAGAAAACUCAAAUCACUCUUCAAACCCAACUUGCAAAUGUAAAGACACCUCCCCAUGAAGCUACUAAUUUUGGUCUCAAGUGAUUUGACUGACACAACUAGCCAAUCACUAGACAAUUCCUUUACCUGAAGAACAUACUGCUAUAAUUAAAUUAAUUUUUCUUAGCUUUUUUUGAAAUGGGAUCUCAUUCUGUAGCCCAGGCUUUCUGGAACUCAGCAUGUAGUCCAAGUUAGCUUCAAACUCAUGGCAAUCUUCCUGCCUCAGCCUCCCUGAUUCUGGGAUUACAGGUGUGAGACAGCCACAAUACCCAGAUCUACAAUAGUUAAUUUUUAAAAAUCAGAGGUUAUUGCUACCUCUUGAAUGUGUCUGUCCUCCUGAGCAGUAGUGACACUAUUUGAAUGGCAUUAGGAAAACCCCACUUUGACUAGACUAGGAAAGAGGAAUUGAUGCAAUGUGUCCCUUUGGCCAGGUGAUUUAUGUCAGGCCCUACAUGACCAGCGAUGCCUGGGCCUGUUCUAUAUUUUGGUGCCUUCUGUUAAGGGGCACUACCAAGGGCAGA
rnacentral:lncRNA from 1 species